UAAAGUUUAUUUCGUUUUUUAUAUUUUACAUUUAUUUCUUGAAUGCUACUAUUACAUUAACUGUAGCUGAAAAAAAUAAACCACUGUAUAUUUAAUUUGUAUAUUAUGUUGUUUAUAUGAAACUUUCUUUGUUUUUAUAUUUUUAAUAACAGAUUGGUUACCUGAGUACAUAUGUAUAAAGUACAGUUUCACUGUAUGAUUGUGAAUCUUAAUUGCUGUUUUUAACAGAGAUUUUUGACUUUUCUGUUCUUUUACAGAACACUAUUGCACACAAAAUGCUCUUACUCAGCAGAUGGGGACAGCUACCAUCACCCAAUUUUCUUUUGCACAAGCUGUGCAAAAGUGGCUGCGCUAUGCGCCAGACCGGGCAGGAGGGACUGGACGACAACUUAUGCAGGCAUCAGAUGACAAUGAAGUGUAAAUAAAGAGCAGAGAGGCUAAUAAACAUGAAUUUGAUUUUAAA